CCUUCGGGUCGUAAAGCUCUGUGGGGAGGGACGAACAAGCCCGGUAUCAACACCACCGGGCCCUGACGGUACCUCCUUAGCAAGCACCGGCUAACCCUGUGC
rnacentral:rRNA from 1 species